rnacentral:lncRNA from 1 species
CCUUGGUUUUCAUCCCUCGAUAUGAAGUUUAGCGCUGCAAUGUAUCACUUUGUUCCUUGCUUGUAUUGGGGGAGACACGUUUAAUAUUCAGAAGAAGAAUGAAGCCAAUUGCAAGUAGCUUCUGGAAAUGGAGGAAUGGCAGAAAUCAGGACUACUCCCUUCCCAAGCCCAGCCUCUGGAACACAAGCCACCUGGCACUGGUCCUUCUGGAUGGGAUCCAGGGAGCUCUGUUCUUCCAUUCAACAAAUAUAAAUGCCAACGACAUUCAGGACAGUUUGCUGAAUUCCAAAAUCUACAGUCAGGGUUCCUAUGCUCAAGAUACCUAACAUUCACCUUGGUGUUUGAAGAUUCCCCAAGAUGUGGGUUUGGGAAAUAGACGAAAGAAGAGGCGCACGAUCCCUGCGAUGGACCCAAACCAAAACCAAAUUAAUGAAACUUGAUCUGUAGAUGUGGGAUCUUUGUCUUUUAAUAUGUGAGCCUGUCCGAACACGUGUAAAUGAGGAUUAACAUGGAAUCAGAAGAAAACUUGGGAGUUCUCUAAUCGCCUAGUGGGUAAAGGCUCCUGCCUUUUCACUGCUGUGGCUCUGAUUGCUCCUGUGGCACAGGUUUGAGCCCUGGCCCAGAAACCUCCACAUGCUGUGGGUUCAGCAGAAGAGAAAAAUAAAUAAGAGCAAACCUGAACUUUGCAAUUCUCAUUAAAAAAAAAAA